UACGUAGGGGGCUAGCGUUGUCCGGAUUUAUUGGGCGUAAAAAGCGUGUAGGCGGCCAGGUAGGUCUGCUGUGAAAACUCGAGGCUCAACUUCGGGCUUGCAGUCGAUACGGGCAGGCUAGAGUUCGGUAGGGGAGACUGGAAUUCCUGGUGUAGCGGUGAAAUGCGCAGAUAUCAGGAGGAACACCGAUGGCGAAGGCAGGUCUCUGGGCCGAUACUGACGCUGAGGAGCGAAAGCGUGGGGAGCGAACAGG
rnacentral:rRNA from 1 species